rnacentral:tRNA from 1 species
AUGAGGACGGCUGCGGCUGCCGACCCCGCCCACGAGGACCUGCCCGCCACCGGUGCCCGGCACAUGUGCCCCACCCGACCCGACAGCCAAACGACCGCGUCAUCCAACAAAGCGGACCGCGACCCGCACCCGGACCCGCACACGACCCCGACAACGACCGCGCGCCCGGCCCUGGCGGCGGCGGCUGGAAAUGCCGAGUCUGCGACGCCUCUUGCCUCCCGUGCGGAGAUCGCGCCGCGAGGAAGAGGCCCUCUCGAGAGGGCCAGCGAGGCGGCGAGGAGAAGGGGGCGCGCGCCGGGCCGCGUCCUUGUCCCCGCCGGCGCCCGGGGUGGGCGACGGGGCGGCGGCGGCGGUGGAGCCGGGCGAGUCCGCUGGCCUUGCUGCCCGUCGGCCGGCGCGCGCGUCCCGUCCGUGGCGCGCCCACAAAGACGCCCGCCAGGCGCCGCGGGCGGCCAAGGGCCCCGCCGGCCGCGUCGGCUCCCAGCCAGGCGAGCGGCCACGCGCCCAGGCCCGCCGUCAGGAUGGCCGAGCGGUCUAAGGCGCUGCGUUCAGGUCGCAGUCUCCCCUGGAGGCGUGGGUUCGAAUCCCACUCCUGACACGCCGACCUUUUGGCCCGCCCAACCAACGCCCGCCUCCCGGGCCUCCCGCACACCCGAGCGCCGCCCUUGGCCGCCUUCCUGGCCGGCCCGGGCUGGCGCUCCGCCUGUGGCCGCCGCGCCAAACUCCAGGCCCCUACACGCACGCCUCUCGACCCCACCAGCUUCUCACGCCCGCCGCUGCGCGGGCCUGGCGCACUCAGCCCAGGAGGCUGCCCCAGCGCCUCGAACCCACUGGCAACCGGCCUUCCCGACACAGCGCGCGCGCCCCCGCCCACUCACUCACACACCCUUCGCACCGGACCCCACACGCGGGGGCUUCAGGACUUCGCGCCACAUCGUUCCUCGCCUGCUCUCCCCUUCCCCCUCCGCACACGAGCCCCCCCCCAUUAGGGGUUGUGUAGCCCUCCCUCCACUCGCGCUCCCACUCCCACUCCCCUCCCCCCCCCACCCCACCCCACCCACCCCACCCGACCCUGCGUGUGCAAACCCUCCAAGGGUCACCCUCCGACUUCUGCCUGGCGCACAGCGCCUCGCUCCU